rnacentral:rRNA from 1 species
GACGAACGCUGGCGGCGUGCUUAACACAUGCAAGUCGAACGAAGAGCGAUGGAAGCUUGCUUCUAUCAAUCUUAGUGGCGAACGGGUGAGUAACGCGUAAUCAACCUGCCCUUCAGAGGGGGACAACAGUUGGAAACGACUGCUAAUACCGCAUACGAUCUAAUCUCGGCAUCGAGGAUAGAUGAAAGGUGGCCUCUACAUGUAAGCUAUCACUGAAGGAGGGGAUUGCGUCUGAUUAGCUAGUUGGAGGGGUAACGGCCCACCAAGGCGAUGAUCAGUAGGCGGUCUGAGAGGAUGAACGGCCACAUUGGGACUGAGACACGGCCCAGACUCCUACGGGAGGCAGCAGUGGGGAAUCUUCCGCAAUGGACGAAAGUCUGACGGAGCAACGCCGCGUGAGUGAUGACGGCCUUCGGGUUGUAAAGCUCUGUUAAUCGGGACGAAAGGCCUUCUUGCGAAUAGUGAGAAGGAUUGACGGUACCGGAAUAGAAAGCCACGGCUAACUACGUG